rnacentral:rRNA from 1 species
CAAUAGCGUAUAUUAAAGUUGUUGCAGUUAAAAAGCUCGUAGUUGGAUUUCUGGCAGGUUUUCAAGGUCCGCUUGUUGCGUGUGCUGCGAAACCCUACCAUCCAUCUGUUAACUCCUCGCGGACUUUACUGGCCGGUGGAGGGCUCAGAUAUUUUACCUUGAGAAAAUUAGAGUGUUCAGGCAGGCUUGCGCCGGAAUACAUUAGCAUGGAAUAAUGGAAUAGGACUACGGUCUCUUUGUUGGUUUGAGGGACUGCAGUAAUGAUUAAUAGGGAUAGUGGGGGCAUUAGUAUUUAAUUGUCAGAGGUGGAAUUCUCGGAUUUGUUAAAGACUAACUUAUGCGAAAGCAUUUGCCAAGGAUGUUUUCAUUAAUCAAGAACGAAAGUUAGGGGAUCGAAG